ACCACCACCCCCUCGGGUUUGCAUUCACGAUUCGAUGUUUUCUGAGUAAUACUAAAUUAACUCGGUGGUGAUAUGAAAAGGGGAGUUGUAAAUCUACCUCUCUCUCGGCAACAGAUGGCCCGUCCUGCUCUGGGACGAUUGAUGAAAAUAGUAGAGUGGCAGGAUAGAAGGGAGGUCCGGUUACUUCAAUCCAGAAUGUUAUAGUCGGCGUUUCUCUCUGUGGGUCCGGUUACUGCUGCUAGUCGUGGAGAAAUCGUAAAUCUAGUGGCUGAUGUGACGUCAGAAUGUCCUAGACAAAUGGAUUAGAAAUUGCAGAAAGCUACUUAAAGUCAUCCUUUAGUAUUACGAGGCAAUUCCCACAUCCUCCAUCCCUAGCACAAAGGGAGGAAAUAAUUGCUAUCAAAUUAGAAAAAUCGACACUAUAUUGUCACUUCACGUGACUUUUUGGUGACAGGUUCCGUGACUACUGUUUUAACACGCUUCAAAUUGAUGCUAAAUACUCGCAUCUUUAUCCCAGGAUUUCAUCCUCAUCCUCAUCUUCAUCUGAUGCUGACGUAUUAUAACAUUUUUAAAAGACGUUGUCGUGAUUUUUAAUGACGUUUAAAACCUGUUACAGUAAUAUUGUUAAAGGAGUAGGUAUCUCGUUACUACAGUAACAUAAUGGGACUGUGUUAUCCAACAACCGUUCACUGUUUCACGGAUACGAUAUCAAAUUCCAUUUGAAAUUCCCAUUAAUUUUCUUCACAAAUUUUUAUUAAUUCAUCUGAACAUCCCGAAAACAGUUAGGACCAAAUUAAAAAAGAAAGAAAAAAAAAGGGCACCACCCGCUGUCAGAAAAGGAAGGUGCGCACUGGCUCAAAAGUUAAUCAUAGUGGCAAAAGUUUCGACUCACUUCACUCGUACAGAUUGACAGGCUGCUGGCCCGCUUUACGGAUCUUCCAGAAAAAAUAGAGGAAGAGAAGAAGAAAAAAGAAGGAUCUGGAAGGGCUCCAAAUCGAAAGUUUUGCUGAUUGGAUUUAGGUAGAA